rnacentral:rRNA from 1 species
UAACGCGUGGGAAUCUGCCUAUCAGUGGGGAAUAACGACGGGAAACUGUCGCUAAUACCGCAUACGCCCUUAGGGGGAAAGAUUUAUCGCUGAUAGAUGAGCCCGCGUACGAUUAGCUAGUUGGUGAGGUAAUGGCUCACCAAGGCUACGAUCGUUAGCUGGUUUGAGAGGAUGAUUAGCCACACUGGGACUGAGACACGGCCCAGACUCCUACGGGAGGCAGCAGUGGGGAAUAUUGGACAAUGGGCGAAAGCCUGAUCCAGCAAUGCCGGGUGAGUGAUGAAGGCCUUAGGGUUU